UAAAGCAGCUGAAACAAUCAAGAGCAGUAGGGCCUCACAAAAGUUGGUCUCUUAAAAUAAAGGAAGAGAAGCACAAAGUGUUCUCUCUUGAGUAGAAAAGCAGGAGAGGUGAAUAGUUGUCUGAGUAAGCUUGUGUUUUGCUUUGUUUUAUUAAGUGACUAUGUCUUCUGGGAAUACACCAUGCUGCUUCUCAGAACCUCUGCAGAAACAACAAAUAUGUGGAUUUCUCUUGUGUAGACUAAGGAACAUGGGGGUCAUAUCUGACAUUACUAACUUGGUGCUGGUGAAAGCAACUCCAGAAUGGGAUUUCAGUGUUGUCACAAGCCCUGGGUAAAAAAAACUCUUAAUACUUACUCUUUAAAAGGCGAGCUUUUUAUAGAAAAUCCCAGCAUUAUGUACUGAAGCUAUCUGAAGUAUCCAGCUUUGUGUGACUAAUAGAUUCCAUUGCUACCAAGAGCCACAAUCAAGAUGAAGAUUUCUGUUGUGAGAUCUUCUUCAUGAGACCACAGCUGCUACGGUUUAACCCGAGAUAGCAAUGCAACCACAAUAGCUGCUCAUUCACCAUCGCUCCUCCCCGCCAAUAAGGGAGAUAAUCAAAAGGGAAGGGAGAAACUUGGAUUGAGAUAAACACAGCUUAAUGAAAUAACAAAAUACUAAUACACUACUAAUAAAUACAUAUAUAUAUAUAAUAGAAAUAAAAGAUACUCAAGACAAUUUCUCACGAACAUGCUGAGCAGCCAGUCCCAAGAAAACAGCACCUGGUCCCAGGGCUCAUCCCAGAGAGAGAGAAGAGAAGAAAAAGGCUGGCUCAGAAGCCUCUGCGAAGAAGCAAAAGGCCAAACUAAACAUUCCAUCCGAAAGUCCCCUGGCUGUACCGCAGAGAAAGAUAGCAGAAGAGUCACCUAGAAGGUCCCAACUCUUCUUAAAUAGUUAGCAUGAUGCUAGUGGGAUGGAAUACUCUUACUGAUCAGUCUGGAUGUCAGUCAAGCUCUGCCCUAUCCGUGCCCCUCUUCCUCGAUACCUCACACCUGUGGGGAGAGCUCAGAAUGUCCUUGGAUCUGAGACCAUAGCAAUUAAAAACACGAACUCUG